rnacentral:rRNA from 1 species
GAAUUUAGCAGCAGCGUAUUUGAAUGCCCCAGUUCCCCAAGAAUCACUGAAGUUCAGAAACGUUGCACGUGGUUAGUACCUGGAUGGUGACCAUCUGUUGAAUUGCGUGCUGCUGGGUUCC